rnacentral:rRNA from 1 species
UACGGGGGGGGGCAAGCGUUGUUCGGAAUUACUGGGCGUAAAAGGGCUCGUAGGCGGCCAACUAAGUCGGAUGUGAAAUCCCCAGGCUCAACUUGGGAACUGCAUCCGAUACUGGAUGGCUUGAAUUCGGGAGAGGGAUGCAGAAUUCCAGGUGUAGCGGUGAAAUGCGUAGAGAUCAGGAAGAACACCCCGUGGCGCAAGCGGCCACCUGGCAGAGUUCUGACGCUGAGGCACGAAAGCGUGGGGAGCGAACCGG